AGCUAGUGUGGCGUAGUGGUUUGCGUGCUGGACUAAAAUUCGGGAGACUGGGGUUCGAUUCCCAGAUUGGCUA